GAAAUGCGAUAAGUAAUGUGAAUUGCAGAAUUCAGUGAAUCAUCGAAUCUUUGAACGCACCUUGCGCUCCUUGGUAUUCCUUGGAGCAUGCCUGUUUGAGUAUCAUGAAAUCUUCAAAGUAAAUCUUUUGUUAACUCAAUUGGUUUCUACUUUGCUAUUGGAGGUCUUUGCAGCUUCACACCUGCUCCUCUUUGUUCAUUAGCUGGAUCUCAGUGUUAUGCUUGGUUCCACUCGGCGUGAUAAGUUAUCUAUCGCUGAGGACACUGUAAAAGGUGGCCAAGGUAAAUGCAGAUGAACCGCUUCUAAUAGUCCAUUGACUUGGACAAUACUUUUAUGAUCUGAUCUCAAAUCAGGUAGGACUACCCGCUGAACUUAAGC
rnacentral:misc_RNA from 1 species